UCUCAUUCGUUCAUUAUUGUUGCUACUGUAUUUCACUUACCCAUACUGUUGUUUAUCUCUUCCUAAUCCGGUGAGUACUCCUCGCCUUUUUCGGCUUGCGGUACUCACUGGGAGGGGAGACAUGUUUACAUGUUCUCACCUCCCCCACUAUUUUUCAGGUAUCGCGGGCGGUGAGGGUUGAGACGAGACGUGAGAUACGUAGCGGUCGAUAGAGCUUCCGACCCAGGUUAUUCGGUUUAGUUCUACCCUUACUAUUAUGUUGAUAUAGCUUAGAUAGUUUAUAUGGUUCAGUAUAUUUUAUUACAUUUGAAAAUAUGGGUUUUCAUGAAUGUAAUAAAUGGAUUUGUGGAUUUUGUGAAAUGAAAAGGUUUUCUACCCCUCGUGGUAGCGUUUUUAAAGAAUAAAGGUUUCCAUGUAGGAAACAGUUUUCAAAAGAAUUUUCUGUGAAUUUAUGUUAAAUAUUAAAUGCAAAUCUGUGAUGUGAAUGGUGAAUGUAUGAAUGUAUGAAUGUAUAGUUAUUUCUAUAUUCAUUUAGUUGUGGUUGUAUCCUGUUUGUACUGUUGUACUUGUGCGACGCCGUGCAAAUACAGGAGAAACUCUGUCCGUGUGAACAGUGAAAUCCCCGUAUUUGUGGCGGAUCUGGCAUAUUCUGGGGUCAGGUUUUCAAAAAAAAAAAAAUAGAC
rnacentral:lncRNA from 1 species